rnacentral:piRNA from 1 species
GAAGAUAUUUGCUGGCCCUUUG